CGCAGCCCUUCUUGGGCGUUUCCUCCCUAGACUUGGGCCGGUCACCUUGGUGUAUCGGCCCUUUUUUCUUUUU
rnacentral:sRNA from 1 species